ACCCGCCUCAAGAUUGGCAGCAGCGAGAACUUGUGCUGAGAGUUGUGCUGUCUGAAUCCUGACUUGAUAAGUCCCUCGUCCUUCCCGUAAUCUCAGCCUGAGGACGUUAGUUUCAUUUCCUCACGUACUCUGUGCUUCCCCAGUUAUUUUCCGUGUUCCCCGCUGUCACAGUCCGCUCUGGUGCGGUCUUCUCCAGGCUCUGCUGAGGAGUGCGGGACUUGGGUGGAGAUACGUGCGCUGCUGUGGAUCUGAACCAGCGUGCAGGACACUUCAGAUAGCCAGACUCGUUCGUUGAGAAGAAUUGACAAUAGAAAAUCUUCCCAGUGGAUGGAACUACCAGCAUUGUCCCAGAUCAUCUACUUUAGGGACUUCCAGGAAGAAGUGGUGGUGGAGUGGUAAGCAGCAACAAAUCAACCCCUCAAAGAUUUGGAAUCCAGACACUGGAAAAUAGCAGCUUGGGGAAUAAAAGAAGGAAGGAAAUGGAUUCCUGGAAUCCAGGAAGGAUCUGAAGGAAAAAAUGGAGCCUACAGAAAAAGUGAAGAGACAGACUACAACUCAGAAAAAGGAGGAGGCACAUUACUUUCUCUCCAGCUCCCAGCUCUCAGAGAGAGGAGGAUCAAAUAUACUGAGACAAGGUGAGAGCAGAUGACUCAAGAGGCCUCCAGGGAGAAACAUAUUAAUGGAACAGAGCAAUGGAUGCUGUGUGCUACAACAGCUGGUGAGUGACUCCAGUCCAAGUGACUGCCUGUGUUCUCUGGAGAGGUUGUUUGGUAGGAUGCUAUUUUAGGGAGGGGCCAACUGAACAUGGGACUCGAGGAACCAUGGGUUAGAUUCA